AUUGAACGCUGGCGGCAUGCCUUACACAUGCAAGUCGAACGGCAGCACGGGAGCAAUCCUGGUGGCGAGUGGCGAACGGGUGAGUAAUGUAUCGGAACGUACCUUUCAGUGGGGGAUAACGUAGCGAAAGUUACGCUAAUACCGCAUAUUCUGUGAGCAGGAAAGCAGGGGAUCGCAAGACCUUGCGCUGAUUGAGCGGCCGAUAUCAGAUUAGCUAGUUGGUGAGGUAAAGGCUCACCAAGGCGACGAUCUGUAGCGGUUCUGAGAGGAUGAUCCGCCACACUGGAACUGAGACACGGUCCAGACUCCUACGGGAGGCAGCAGUGGGGAAUUUUGGACAAUGGGGGCAACCCUGAUCCAGCCAUGCCGCGUGUGUGAAGAAGGCCUUUUGGUUGUAAAGCACUUUAAGCGAGGAGGAGGCUCCUAUAGUUAAUACCUAUAGUGAGUGGACGUUACUCGCAGAAUAAGCACCGGCGUAACU
rnacentral:rRNA from 1 species